AUUGAACGCUGGCGGCAGGCCUAACACAUGCAAGUCGAGCGAGCGGCGGACGGGUGAGUAAUGUCUGGGAAACUGCCUGAUGUCGGGGGAUAACUACUGGAAACGGUAGCUAAUACCGCAUACCAUCAGCUGUGCCCAGAUGGGGUUAGCUAGUAGGUGGGGUAAUGGCUCACCUCGGCGACGAUCCCUAGCGGGUCUGAGAGGAUGACCAGCCAACCUGGAACGGCGACACGGUACAGACCCCAACGGGAGGCGGCGGUGGGGAGUAGUGCACAAGGGGCGCAAGCAUGAUGCAACCAUGCCGCGUGGGGGAAGAGGGCCUUCGGGUUGUAAAGCACUUUCAGCGGGGAGGCGUUACCCGCAGAAGAAGCACCGGCUAACUCCGUGCCAGCAGCCGCGGUAAUAC
rnacentral:rRNA from 1 species